UGGGGAAUAUUGCACAAUGGGGGAAACCCUGAUGCAGCGACGCCGCGUGAGUGAAGAAGUGCUUCGGCAUGUAAAGCUCUAUCAGCAGGGAAGAAGAUGACGGUACCUGACUAAGAAGCCCCGGCUAACUACGUGCCAGCAGCCGCGGUAAUACGUAGGGGGCAAGCGUUAUCCGGAUUUACUGGGUGUAAAGGGAGCGUAGGUGGCAGAUCAAGUCAGAUGUGAAAGCCCGUGGCUCAACUGCGGGAUUGCAUUUGAAACUGGUUUGCUAGAGUGCAGGAGAGGUAAGUGGAAUUCCUAGUGUAGCGGUGAAAUGCGUAGAUAUUAGGAGGAACACCAGUGGCGAAGGCGGCUUACUGGACUGUAACUGACACUGAGGCUCGAAAGCGUGGGGAGCAAA
rnacentral:rRNA from 1 species